GCAGGUGUAGUUCAACGGCAGAACUUCAGCCUUCCAAGCUGACUACGAGGGUUCGAUUCCCUUCACCUGCUCCA
rnacentral:tRNA from 1 species